rnacentral:lncRNA from 13 species
AGGCACAAUUUACAGAGCAAACAAUAGGUUCAAUUUUGGCAUUUCCCGAUGUGGGCAAGGUCACAGGGCUGUUCUUGGCAGGCAGUUCUCAUCCACGUGCUCACUGGCCCUCGCAGGCUGAUGUCAGAGAUGACACAUGGGUCAGGGAGCUCAGAUGCUUGAAUAGUGACACAGCUGGAACCCCACGUAGAACACGGGAGAGGAAAGCAGAGUGAGUUGAGUAAACAUCCUGUGACUUAUUUUACCCAGGCCCUAUUCAAGAUGGAGUUGCUCUGGCUCACACACCUGUGACCACAAAAGAAAGACUGGAUGACUGUGUGAGUGAUCAACCAACCAAACAAAAGAGAGGGAUCCUCCAUGAGGAGUGUGUCCAGACAGGAGCUGCUCUCCUUUUAGACUGUGCCCAAGAUAAACACAUAUGGAACAGAUCUGAUCCCAACCCACAGCCUGCGGCCAUGCCUGGCAGAGCCCAGCCUGGAUCAGCCAAGUCACGCUUGACCUGUGGACCUGAAUCCGCUGGUCUCCAUGGAUGGCAUCUUUUAUAUCCUACUAAGUUAGGAGAUGAAUUGCAUCAGCAGCAAGGCAAGCAACAACAAAGAGAUUUGCCCUUGAAACUUUUUGGAUGCCAUGACUUCCAUGAGCUGCCGGUCUCCAUGGAUGGGACCUUUUAUAUAUUACCAAGUUAGGAGACAAAUUGCAACAGCCAACUCAUGAUGCCAGCUGUCCCGAUUGUAUCCAAUGGAUUUCACUUUAUGGAAGUGACUGAGUGAUGGCAGGGAGAAGCAGGUACCAUCAAAAGAAUACUCUACUUACAUUUCCCAAGAGAAGGGAGCACACCAGGCCACAUAGGACCACACAAGGGAACACCAAA